UUCCGGUUGAUCCUGCCGGAGGUCACUGCUAUUGGGAUUCGACUAAGCCAUGCGAGUCGAGAGGGUUCGGCCCUCGGCUGACGGCUCAGUAACACGUGGAUAAUCUGCCCUAUGGUGGAGGAUAACCUCGGGAAACUGAGAAUAAUACUCCAUAGGUCUAGGAUACUGGAAUGCACCUAGGCUCAAAACUCCGGUGCCAUAGGAUGAGUCUGCGGACCAACUAGGCGACGACGGGUACGGGCAUUGGGAGAUGUAGCCCGGAGAUGGACUCUGAGACACGAGUCCAGGCCCUACGGGGCGCAGCAGUCGCGAAAACUUCACAAUGUGGGAAACCGCGAUGAGGGGAUUCCAAGUGCUUGCGUUUUGCGUAAGCUGUUCUCCUGCCUAAAAAGCAGGGGGAGUAAGGGCUGGGUAAGACGGGUGCCAGCCGCCGCGGUAAUACCCGCAGCCCAAGUGGUGGUCGAUAUUAUUGAGCUUAAAGCGUCCGUAGCCUGUCUGGUAAAUUCUUGGGUAAAUCGUGCAGCUUAACUGUCCGAAUUCCGGGGAGACUGCCAGACUUGGGACCGGGAGAGGUUGGAGGUACUCCUGGGGUAGGGGUAAAAUCCCGUAAUCCUGGGAGGACCAUCAGUGGCGAAGGCGUCCAACUGGAACGGAUCCGACGGUCAGGGACGAAGCCCUGGGUCGCGAACUGGAUUAGAUACCCAGGUAGUCCAGGGUGUAAACGCUGCAGACUUGGUGUCGGAGGUCCUACGAGGGCGUCCGGUGCCGGAGAGAAUUUGUUAAGUCUGCCGCUUGGGGAGUACGGGCGCAAGGCUGAAACUUAAAGGAAUUGACGGGGAGCACAACAAGGGGAGGAGCCUGCGGUUCAAUUGGACUCAACGCGGAUCUCUGGAGAUCGCGCGUACGAGUCUAUUCACUGGACGUCGUUUACACGUCUGACUGCAAACCCUGCGUACCCACUU
rnacentral:rRNA from 1 species